UACGUAGGGUGCAAGCGUUAAUCGGAAUUACUGGGCGUAAAGCGUGCGCAGGCGGUUUUGUAAGUCUGACGUGAAAUCCCCGGGCUCAACCUGGGAAUUGCGAUGGAAACUGGGCAGCUAGAGUGUGUCAGAGGAUGGUGGAAUUCCCGGUGUAGCGGUGAAAUGCGUAGAGAUCGGGAGGAACAUCAGUGGCGAAGGCGGCCAUCUGGGACAACACUGACGCUGAAGCACGAAAGCGUGGGGAGCAAACAGG
rnacentral:rRNA from 1 species